rnacentral:rRNA from 1 species
AGGGUGAAGCCAGGGGAAACUCUGGUGGAGGCUCGUAGCGAUACUGACGUGCAAAUCGUUCGUCUGACUUGGGUAUAGGGGCGAAAGACUAAUCGAACCAUCUAGUAGCUGGUUCUCCCCGAAGUUUCCCUCAGGAUAGCAAACAAUGUGUGAUAGUUUUACCCGGUAAAGCGAAUGAUUAGAGGUUUAUGGAACUCUUUUGUUCUGUGCCUAUUCUCAAACUUUUAAUAGGUAAGAUAUUCUAUGUUACUUUAUGGAACUAGAAUGUGGAAUAUAUAUUGUUUAGUGGGCCAUUUUUGGUAAGCAGAACUGGCGAUGCGGGAUGAACCGGUCGUGGAGAUUAAGGUGCCAAAGAAGUCACUCAUCUAGAUACUGCAAAAGGUGUUAUUUCAUAUGGACAGCAGGACGGUGGUCAUGGAAGUCGAAAUCCGCUAAGGAGUGUGUAACAACUCACCUGCCGAAUGGAAUAGCCCUGAAAAUGGAUGGCGCUAAAGUGAUUCACCUAAAUCUCACCAUAAUAUCAAAUCGUACAUUAUGGAAUGUAUACUAAUAGGAUAUUAUGUGUAGGGGAGCGUGGUGUUCUUUGUCAAUAUUCUAUCGUGAGAUAGAUAGGAAAGGAUACUAGUGCAGAUCUUGGUGGUAGUAGCAAUGAUUCAAAUGUGAUCUUUGAAGACUGACGUGGAGAAAGGUUCCAUGGGAAACGUCUUGUUCCAUGGGUUAGUCGAUCCUAAGUUGGUACCGAAAGGUUGUACAUGAUAGGUGUGUUAGCUUUGUUAUUGUGCGCAGUAGCGAAUGAAUCAUACCAUCUCCAACGAAAGGGAAAUAGGUUCAUAUUCCUAUACCCAUACGAUGCAAAUAGAUAAACAUUGGUAACAAAAGGAACAUCCGAGACAUUCGUUUGUAAUCUCUGAAGAAAUUUCUCUUCUUUUUAACAGUUUAUGUGGUAGGCAUACUACAUUCUUUCUAUGUGUAACAACAUAGAAAUGGUAACACCAUGGAAGCGUAUUGUACGGAGAUAUGGUUGUACAACUGGGAAAGGUGAUACUUUAUGUAUUUUUACUAUGUAAAAUAAGUAAAAUCACUAGAGAACUUACAAAAGGAUCCUUGAAAAUCGGAUAGACUGCUUAUGCGUUGUCAUCGUGGUUCGUACUCAUAACCGCAUCAGGUCUCCAAGGUGAAUAGCCUCUAGUCUAUAGAAUAAUGUAGGUAAGGGAAGUCGGCAAAAUAGAUCCGUAACUUUGGGAAAAGGAUUGGCUCAAUGGGAUGCUCUAAUCUCGUAUUAGAACAACAUCCACCAUUGAACUGAAACGGACAAGAGGAAUCCGACUGUUUAAUUAAAACAAAGCAUUGCGAUGGUUCGCAACGAAUGUUUACGCAAUGUGAUUUCUGCCCAGUGCUUUGAAUAUCAAUGUGGAGAAAUUCAAGUAAGUAGUGGUCAACGGCGGGAGUAACUAUGACUCUCUUAAGGUAGCCAAAUGCCUCGUCGUCUAAUUAGCGACGCGCAUGAAUGGAUUAAUGAGAUUCCUACUGUCCCUAUCUACGAUCUAGCGAAACCACAGCCAAGGGAACGGGCUUGGAAAUUUCAGCGGGGAAAGAAGACCCUCUUGAGCUUGACUCUAGUCUGACUUGGUGAAUUGACUCGAUUGGUGUAGCAUAUGUGGGAGUACGCAAGUACAAUAGUGAAAUACCACAACUUUCGACGUUAAUUUGCUCAUCUAUUUAGUAUCUCACAUCUUAUUGAAGUAUUUUAGAGACUCAUAGAAACAAAGUCAGGUGGGGAGUUUGACUGGGGCGGUACAUCUGUUAAACGAUAACACAGGUGUCCUAAGAUGAGCUCAACGAGAGCAGAAAUCUCGUGUAGAACAAAAGGGUAAAAGCUCAUUUAAUUGUUGAUUUUCAGUACGAAUACAAAUAAUGAAAGUUUGGCCUAUCGAUCCUUUAGUUGCAUAAUCUUAUAAAGCAUGUUUAUCUAGAGGUGUCAGAAAAGUUACCAAAGGGAUAACUGGCUUGUGGCAGCCAAGAGUUCAUAUCGACGUUGCUUUUUGAUUCUUCGAUGUCGGCUCUUCCUAUCCUUUCCUCGCAGCAGGGGAAAAGGGUCAGAUUGUUCAUUUACUAACAGGGAACGUGAGCUGGGUUUAGACCGUUGUGAGACAGGUUAGUUUUACCCUACUGAAUAACCUAUUUGAAUGGUAAUGCAAGGUAGUACGAGAGGAACUCUUGCUUCGCGGACUUGGUGAAUCAUUUCUAUGAGAUUGGAAGAUGAGAAGCUACCCCGCGUCGGAUAAGAGCUGAACGCCUCUAAGCUUGAAUCCGUGUCAUACAAAUGGAUGUUUGAAGAGUUUAUAAAAAUGGAACGAAUAUUCCCUAGAGGAAUCAGUCCUUUGUAUGAUGAUUGUAUAUAGAGUGAACUUUGUAUCAGUUGUUGUAUGAGAAGAAGCUUUUCUUUUGUUGAUCUCUAGCAGACGACUAGGUUUGGACGCAGUACUGUACGUAUGAGAGUGAGUUUGUCUCACGAUCUACUUAGGUUUAUCUGUGCUCUAUGAUCAUUUUG